GGUUUACAUUAACUCCUCCCCUUACUCUCCACCUCGUCCAUCUCCGUUCCCCAAAAUCAUCUCCAGGCCGACAACGCCUCCUUCAAGCAGGAGAGCUCCAUCGCCGAACCCCACCGGAUCUCAUCCUCCUCAACACUUGGGAACCUGUGGUCGCCGGCAUCCUCCUCCCUGGCCCUCGGCAGGCGCCAUCCUUGCGCAGCCAAGGGAGCCCUCACCAGAUCCCGUUCGCCUCCAUGGGCGGAGCCCGAGGUCACCGGAGUACCAGGAGCACGGGGGUGGACCAAGGCGCGGCGUCUGGGAAACGCCAUGAUCUACCUGCAGAUGCUCACCGCCCCCCUCCCCCCAACACCUGCUCCCGCCCCGAGCCCUCGAGCUCCAGCGCGCGGUGAUGCCUUUGGAUCUCUCUUAUCCUGCCUUUGGAUGCUUGAACUGUCUGAAAACACUGUCAAAUGUUUGUGGAAGGAUGCUGCUGAUCAGGGUGUACUUGUGAGAAAUUUUGAGAACAGAAUCAGGGUGAGGCCCCUCCCUGUGCGUUUUUUUUUUUUUUUGGUUUGGAUCAUGUGAUUAUCAAAUCGGUGCAGCAGGGAUUCAUCUCACCUUUUGUGCUAAUGUAAAAAAGUAAUCGAUGGCUUGCAAGUUUUAAUCCUGAGCAUUUUCAGUUCCUCCAUCGCUCAGCACAAACUUGAUUUGUAAACAGAUGUCUCAAAUAUCAAUGGUGUAUGAUAUCAUUUGUUGAUAUAAUUUAUGAUUUAAUAAUUUUUACAAUCUGCAUCA